rnacentral:rRNA from 1 species
UACGUAGGGACCAAGCGUUGUCCGGAUUUAUUGGGCGUAAAGAGCUCGUAGGCGGUUUGUUGCGUCGGCCGUGAAAACCUGCAGCUUAACUGUGGGCCUGCGGCCGAUACGGGCAGACUUGAGUUCGGUAGGGGAGACUGGAAUUCCUGGUGUAGCGGUGAAAUGCGCAGAUAUCAGGAGGAACACCGGUGGCGAAGGCGGGUCUCUGGGCCGAUACUGACGCUGAGGAGCGAAAGCGUGGGGAGCGAACAGG